UACGUAGGGUGCAAGCGUUGUCCGGAAAGUUACUGGGCGUAAAGAGUUCGUAGGCGGUUUGGUCGCGUCGUUUGUGAAAACCCGCGGCUACAACUGCGGGCUUGCAGCCGAUACGGGCAGGCUAGAGUUCGGUAGGGGAGACUGGAAUUCCUGGUGUAGCGGUGAAAUGCGCAGAUAUCAGGAGGAACGACCGGUGGCGAAGGCGGGUCUCUGGGCCGAUACUGACGCUGAGGAGCGAAAGCGGUGGGGAGCGAACAGG
rnacentral:rRNA from 1 species